UGGGAGACUUGAUACACACCUGUGCUACUAAGAUGGCUUCAGAUGUCACUAUUUCUCCCUAGACUAUUUUGCUCUCUGAUGACCACAGGACCUCAAGUCACACACUGUGGACAGAUACGGGGCAGACACUG
rfam:Lingula anatina scaffold106, whole genome shotgun sequence.